rnacentral:rRNA from 1 species
CUACGGGAGGCUCCAGUGGGGAAUAUUGCGCAAUGGGCGAAAGCCUGACGCAGUCAUGCCGCGUGUGUGAAGAAGGCCUUCGGGUUGUAAAGCACUUUCAAUUGGGAGGAAAGGUUCAAGCUUAAUACGCUUGAGCUGUGACGUUACCUUUAGAAGAAGCACCGGCUAACUCCGUGCCAGCAGCCGCGGUAAUACGGAGGGUGCAAGCGUUAAUCGGAAUUACUGGGCGUAAAGCGCACGCAGGCGGUUUGUUAAGUCAGAUGUGAAAUCCCCGGGCUCAACCUGGGAACUGCAUCUGAUACUGGCAAGCUUGAGUCUCGUAGAGGGGGGUAGAAUUCCAGGUGUAGCGGUGAAAUGCGUAGAGAUCUGGAGGAAUACCGGUGGCGAAGGCGGCCCCCUGGACGAAGACUGACGCUCAGGUGCGAAAGCGUGGGGAGCAAACAGGAUUAGAUACCCGAGUAGUC